GACGAACGCUGGCGGCGUGCUUAACACAUGCAAGUCGAACGGAAAGGCCCUGCUUGCAGGGUACUCGAGUGGCGAACGGGUGAGUAACACGUGGGUGAUCUGCCCUGCACUUCGGGAUAAGCUUGGGAAACUGGGUCUAAUACCGGAUAGGACCGCACUUUAGUGUGUGUGGUGGAAAGUUUUUUCGGUGUAGGAUGAGCUCGCGGCCUAUCAGCUUGUUGGUGGGGUAAUGGCCUACCAAGGCGGCGACGGGUAGCCGGCCGGAGAGGGUGUACGGCCACAUGGGAACUGAGAUACGGCCCAGACUCCUACGGGAGGCAGCAGGGGGGAAUAUUGCACAAUGGGCGCAAGCCUGAUGCAGCGACGCCGCGUGGGGGAUGAAGGCCUUCGGGUUGUAAACUCCUUUCGCUAGGGACGAAGCUUUGUUGUGACGGUACCUAGAUAAGAAGCACCGGCUAACUACGUG
rnacentral:rRNA from 1 species